GACGAACCGUGCGAACGUUGUUCGGAAUCACUGGGCUUAAAGGGCGCGUAGGCGGGCGGGCAAGUCAGGGGUGAAAUCCCACGGCUCAACCGCGGAAGGGCCCUUGAUACUGCCCAUCUCGAGGGAGGUAGGGGCGUGCGGAACUUCCGGUGGAGCGGUGAAAUGCGUAGAUAUCGGAAGGAACACCGGUGGCGAAAGCGGCGCGCUGGACCUCUUCUGACGCUGAGGCGCGAAAGCCAGGGGAGCAAACGGG
rnacentral:rRNA from 1 species